UUUAAAAUUGACACAUUAAUAAAGAAAGUUAGCAAACCAAGACCAGAGAGACAUUGGAAUACACCCCUAGAUUUUUAACUUCCUCUAGUCUUCUCUGACUAUAUAUAUAAACCUGAUACAAUCUGUAAAACUAAGAAGAAACACACACACACACACAAGAAGAAACAAGAAGAUUCGAUUGAAGGGGUUUGAUGGUGAACGUUAUCAUUAUCGUGGACUUGAUCUUGGUCAAAGAAUUGAGAAGAAGAAGAAGAAGAAGACUCUGUUUUGCCGACUUUAUCUUCUUCUAGUAAAAUAUUAGACGAGAGACAAACAUUUCUUUUAGAAGGGUCUCACAAUGUCGAAUUAGUAGUUGUUGUCUUUGUAUAAUAAUCAAGAGAUGGUCCAACCAAAAAGACAAAAAAAGCUGCUUACUCGGUUCUAUUGUCUAUUUCCAAUCGAGUUUAUCUAAUCAUAUCAAUGUGGAGUACUGGUACUUUUGGACCAGGGAAGCCUUCAAUUCUUCUUGCCUUUUCUAGAAAAAUUGUAUUCGCCACUUUGAUUCGAGAAUGAUCUACCAUUCUUCAGUUUAUUUGGA